rnacentral:rRNA from 1 species
GGGGGAAUAUUGCACAAUGGGGGAAACCCUGAUGCAGCAACGCCGCGUGAAGGAUGAAGGUUUUCGGAUCGUAAACUUCUAUCAACAGGGACGAAACAAAUGACGGUACCUGAAUAAGAAGCCCCGGCUAACUACGUGCCAGCAGCCGCGGUAAUACGUAGGGGGCAAGCGUUAUCCGGAAUUACUGGGUGUAAAGGGAGCGUAGGCGGCACGUCAAGCCAGAUGUGAAAGCCCGGGGCUUAACCCCGUGGAUUGCAUUUGGAACUGGCGAGCUAGAGUACAGGAGAGGAAAGCGGAAUUCCUAGUGUAGCGGUGAAAUGCGUAGAUAUUAGGAAGAACACCAGUGGCGAAGGCGGCUUUCUGGACUGAAACUGACGCUGAGGCUCGAAAGCGUGGGGAGCAAACAGGAUUAGAUACC